UGCAGUCGAGCGGAACGAUGUAGCUUGCUACAGGCGUCGAGCGGCGGACGGGUGAGUAACGCGUAGGAAUCUGCCUAGUAGUGGGGGACAACAUGUGGAAACGCAUGCUAAUACCGCAUAAGCCCUACGGGGGAAAGGAGGGGAUCUUCGGACCUUUCGCUAUUAGAUGAGCCUGCGUGAGAUUAGCUUGUUGGUGAGGUAAAGGCUCACCAAGGCGACGAUCUCUAGCUGGUCUGAGAGGAUGACCAGCCACACUGGGACUGAGACACGGCCCAGACUCCUACGGGAGGCAGCAGUGGGGAAUAUUGGACAAUGGGCGCAAGCCUGAUCCAGCCAUGCCGCGUGUGUGAAGAAGGCCUUAGGGUUGUAAAGCACUUUCAGAGGGGAGGAAAGGUUAUUGAUUAAUACUCAAUAGCUGUGACGUUACCCUCAGAAGAAGCACCGGCUAACUCUGUGCCAGCAGCCGCGGUAAUACAGAGGGUGCAAGCGUUAAUCGGAAUUACUGGGCGUAAAGCGCGCGUAGGUGGUUUGUUAAGUCGGAUGUGAAAGCCCAGGGCUCAACCUUGGAAUGGCACCCGAUACUGGCAGGCUAGAGUACGAUAGAGGAGUGUGGAAUUUCCUGUGUAGCGGUGAAAUGCGUAGAUAUAGGAAGGAACAUCAGUGGCGNANNNGACACUCUGGAUUGAUACUGACACUGNNNGCGAAAGCGUGGGGANCAAAC
rnacentral:rRNA from 1 species